UUUGGAAGAUGAUGACACAAUACAAACAAAUUACCAAAGCACCAGCAAUGCUGAAUUGUUUAUUUGCACGUCAGUCUGAUCCAAA